rnacentral:rRNA from 1 species
UGGGGAAUCUUGCACAAUGGGGGCAACCCUGAUGCAGCGACGCCGCGUGAGCGAUGAAGCCCUUCGGGGCGUAAAGCUCUUUCGACCGGAACGAUAAUGACGGUACCGGGAGAAGAAGCUGCGGCUAACUACGUGCCAGCAGCCGCGGUAAUACGUAGGCAGCAAGCGUUGUUCGGAGUUACUGGGCGUAAAGAGUGCGUAGGCGGUUUUCUAAGUUCGGUGUGAAAUCUCCCGGCUUAACUGGGAGGGUGCGCCGAAGACUGGGAAGCUGGAGUGUGGGACAGGCAUGCGGAACUCCUGGUGUAGCGGUGAAAUGCGUAGAUAUCAGGAGUAACACCGGCGGUGUAGACGGCUUGCUAGACCAUAACUGACGCUGAGGCACGAAAGCGUGGGUAGCAAACA